GACGAACGCUGGCGGCGUGCUUAACACAUGCAAGUCGAACGGAAAGGCCCUGCUUUUGUGGGGUGCUCGAGUGGCGAACGGGUGAGUAACACGUGAGUAACCUGCCCUUGACUUUGGGAUAACUUCAGGAAACUGGGGCUAAUACCGGAUAGGAGCUCCUGCUGCAUGGUGGGGGUUGGAAAGUUUCGGCGGUUGGGGAUGGACUCGCGGCUUAUCAGCUUGUUGGUGGGGUAGUGGCUUACCAAGGCAUUGACGGGUAGCCGGCCUGAGAGGGUGACCGGCCACAUUGGGACUGAGAUACGGCGCAGACUCCUACGGUAGGCAACAGUGGGGAGUAUUGCACAAUGGGCGGAAGCCUGAUGCAGCAACGCCGCGUGCGGGAUGACGGCCUUCGGGUUGUAAACCGCUUUCGCCUGUGACGAAGCGUGAGUGACGGUAAUGGAUAAAGAAGCACCGGCUAACUACGUG
rnacentral:rRNA from 1 species